rnacentral:lncRNA from 1 species
CUUGUUUGGCCACAAAUUCGGGAUAGUUAUCUUGAAGCAAGUUAAGGGCUUGGUUGGUAGCUUGUCUGAGUUCCUUUUUACCAGGUCCAGGUGAAUUCUUGAGGUCGUUCACUUGAACCAUGGUAUUGAUACCAGUAGGAUUGAAGUCGAGUUUUCGGAUGCUCUUUUCCAGGAACUGAAUCCUCCAUCUCAAGAACUUGGAUCGUUUUUCUUCAUCAGCGAAAGUGUUUUGAUACAGCUCUUUGUUUUGGAAUUCUCCAUAGACGUUGUAACAGACGGGAUGACCUUCUUUAUCGAACCCCUGCAUAAAAACAACCUUUUCUAGUUCGUUCCCUAGAUCUUCAUCGAGCAAGGUUUCGAUUCCGAAUUCUUUUCGCCAGCUGACAGUGUUUUUGAUCAUAGUGAAUGCGUCCUUCACCUUGAAAUCUCUUGCCCUCAAGAAUUUCAACAAGAUCAC